UAUACCUGCAAUACCUCUGGUGUUGCGGGUGCCUAUGCGCGGUGGAAGUCACUUACUAUCAGCGUCGAUGUAAUGAAUCGCCUGUUAAUUCGACACGUUCGUCGUGCCAUCGAAGGAUACGACGGGCGAGUGCAAGUUGACGCAAGGCAGUGGUUGCCACAUACUUGGUUAUACUCCAACGGAAUGCAGGAAACACAUCUGUAUUCUCAACAGUCGCAUUCAUAUUUGAAUCAAUGUAGAUAGGUAGUACAUAUCCAAUUUUGCAAUACGUAAAACAUAAUUGUAUGUAAUUUUUAGCAAUUUCCAACAGAAUAAAGUUUUAGUUUUU